rnacentral:tRNA from 1 species
AAGUAGUGAAGUAAUAAUUACAUUUAGUUUCGACCUAAAAUUAGGGAUAUUUCCCCUUACUUA